rnacentral:tRNA from 1 species
GGAAGCGUGCCCGAAAGCUAGGGAUCUCCUUGAUAGGGGGACUAAUAGGGGUCCAAACCCCCUCACUUCCU